CGCUCGGAGGCCGCUGCUCGUGGGCCGCCCUCCUCCCGGCCUUGGUCGGUUGAAGGCCCGCCUCUCCUCAGGACCGGCCCAGCCUGCUGGCCGCCCCCACCCCCUGGCCCGUGGGGUUCUUCGCCUCCUGGGGCGGACACUGCGUCGCCUUCUCCUCCACGUGGAAAGCGCUGGCCGGCGAUGUCGGAGACCCACUCCGGAUCUCUUCAGCAGCUGGUUCAGUCACGACAAAAAGCAGCUAAAGCACUACAGGAAACAUUGUACAAGAUAGCAGUUCAAGAGGCAGAGGCUGCUCCACUCACCAUAGAUGCAGCUUGCCAGAUCUGUGAGGAGGAACAUCCUUCAGAGAGACGUCGUCAUUAAGAUGAUGCUGAUGAGGAAGCUUCCCCAGCAGAAAAUGUGGUGUCAUCUGACAAGAAACAGCCAGUGAAGAGGAGUCUCUAUACCCUCCUGCUCUCAUCUGAACAAUGCAAGCUUGGUCCCAGAAGAACUAGGCAGCCCAGCUGCUGAGUCUGUUCUGCCCGAUUCCUGUAGCUCAAGGACAGCUGAGUCCUGGACAUAGUACACUGAGUGAGGAAAUGGUUUAUUCUCGGGAUCUAGAAUCUUCUUCCUCCACUACCAAACAUUUGCCUUCCAAAAACAGCACAGCUCUAUCAGACAGUAUUCCAGCAAGGAAAGCCACUGGACUGGGGGACAGCUACGACUCCCUGCCCAAGCCCAAAGCCAGGCCCAUCAAAUCUCCCGUAGCUGGUCAGAAGCUACCUAUGACCAGAGUGACACUGAAGGAAGGAUCAGAGCUCUGAAGGAUGAACUGCAUCCAAGAAAACUUGUUGCUGAUCAGUUAAGGAACAGAGAAGCAGCAGCAGAGAGGUUGAGAGCCCAAGAAGCAAGUCAGAGCAGAGGAGUACACGGCCGAACGUACUAAACCUGCUACUUGUUUGCUGUGUGGCCUUGGGGAGGAAUUCCUCUUCCGGACUAUGUUACUGCAGUUUGCCUUCCUCCCUUCGAGUAGUUUGAGCCCUACUACAUCUCCAAGCUGAAUUAACAGUGGCAGAUGGUAAAGGUUUGUGCACAGUCUGUCCUUACACUUUCCCAAGUGAUUUUUCUCUGGCAGAGUUCAGCUUCUGGAGGGCAGUGGAUUCUUUUUACCUACUCCUGAAGAAUCUGCUGACCUUCCUUUCUAGCUGCUUUGUUGGCUUCCUGAAAUUGAGAUGAUGUGAAUGAAGAGACUGAGGAAAAACUUCAUAGUAUUUUUUAAAAAGAGACAAAAUGAUAACCGGAACUAAGAGGAAUACUUUAAAAAAAAAUAUCGGUCUUUUAACUGGCAAAAUUUGGUACUGAAAAAUUAUAUUUGAAGCUUCUAUUUUUACUUUAAGGAACUUUUUAAUCAACACACUUAUUUUAAAAGUUAUCACUGAUGUUAACCAAUUUUUUUUAAGAGAGUAGACAACUGUUCAACUUUGCUAGGCUUGGCCUGUGGGGAAUUAAUCUUUUUGCUGUUCUUGCAUGUGGUUUUUUUUUUUAAAUGUUUCAGAGUCUUACUUUGAAUGCAUUUUGAUAGUUGAAAUGAAAACCAACAUUGUCAGUUUAAAAGAAUAAAGCCAUCACCUAAUGCUA